CGUACGAGUUUGAUCCUGGCUCAGAUUGAACGCUGGCGGAAUGCUUUACACAUGCAAGUCGAACGGUAGAGGGGGCAACCCUUGAGAGUAGCGAACGGGUGAGUAAUAUAUCGGAACGUGCCCAGUCGUGGGGGAUAACGUAGCGAAAGUUACGCUAAUACCGCAUACGAUCUAAGGAUGAAAGCGGGGGAUCGCAAGACCUCGCGCGAUUGGAGCGGCCGAUAUCAGAUUAGGUAGUUGGUGAGGUAAAGGCUCACCAAGCCAACGAUCUGUAGCUGGUCUGAGAGGACGACCAGCCACACUGGAACUGAGACACGGUCCAGACUCCUACGGGAGGCAGCAGUGGGGAAUUUUGGACAAUGGACGCAAGUCUGAUCCAGCCAUUCCGCGUGCAGGAUGAAGGCCCUCGGGUUGUAAACUGCUUUUGUACGGAACGAAAAGGUUUGUCUUAAUACGAUGAGCUCAUGACGGUACCGUAAGAAUAAGCACCGGCUAACUACGUG
rnacentral:rRNA from 1 species